rnacentral:lncRNA from 1 species
UUCACAGCAGAGCCAUUUGCAGCUCUUCACACGCCUCAAAAAUUGUUUACAAGGACAAGAAACCACUGCCAGGCUGCUCUGUGAAAUCCUGAGGAUUUUUUUCCUUAUAAGAAUGAUUCCAUAUUCAGGAUGGGGUGGGUGGAAGGUGGCUUUGAACAAUCUCUGCGCUCCUGCUUUGCAGAUCCUGUCAAUAAAACCAGACCAGAUUUAUGGACUGACUGCACAGCCCAGGAAAGGACUGGAAUGCUCAACAGGGAAUGAGAUCACCAGAAAUGAGCCCAGGAACAUCCAGAGCUCGCAGGAGAGGACACAGAAGAUGCAGCUGAAGGCAGAAUGACUCCCAGAUUUGCUGUUGCAAGCUCUCCACCUCGCUCUGUUACAGGACAGAUAAACACAGGCUGAGGGGCUCUUUCCCUGCCAUUUUCUCCUGGUAGUUUUUCCCUCUAUUUGGAUUCCACGAUAUGAUAUAUGAAGUGAAAUCAAUAAUCCUCACUUUUCAGGUUAAGGGCACAGCUGAAUAAAUAAUUCAUAAGUCAUUGGAUCA